GCCUGUUGAAGCAUUAAUCCUCUGUAUAUAGUUGGGACCACCCAUUGUUGUAUACCAUGUUUAGAAGUUCUGACCAGCAACCCAUCCAUGAUACUAAAUUGGACUUUAUAUCUCAUCAAGAUUCGUAAAUCUUCAUUAUCUUUGCAAUCCUCAUCUGUGAUGGGAUUGGCAGUAGGGUCUUCUAUAUGUCUAUAGAAUAUACCUAUGACGGGAUCGUUCUUUUGACUGGUAAUCAGGUCCUCACUAGG